UCACUUGAUUCUAAUUUUUUUCUUUUGUUGACUCUUUUCUCUUUGGAUUUUUCUGACUCUAUUUGUCUUGACACUUUUUUUCUUUUUGGACAUAUUUUUUUUUUUUUUUAACUUUUUCUGAAUAUAUUGUUUUGCUCGACACUUUUCUUUUGAUCUUUGCUGACUAUAUUGAUUCCAAAAGAGGGGUAUGAAAUAAAAUAGGACUGAAGCUCAAAUGGGGUAAACAAAGGAUGACACGAUGUUUGGAUAGCAGAAUGAA
rnacentral:lncRNA from 1 species